rnacentral:misc_RNA from 1 species
GAAAUGCGAUAAGUAAUGUGAAUUGCAGAAUUCAGUGAAUCAUCGAAUCUUUGAACGCACAUUGCGCUCGCCAGUAUUCUGGCGGGCAUGCCUGUUCGAGCGUCAUUUCAACCAUCAAGCCCCCGGCUUGUGUUGGGGACCUGCGGCUGCCCGCAGGCCCUGAAAAACAGUGGCGGGCUCGCUGUCACACCGAGCGUAGUAGCAUACAUUCUCGCUCAGGGCGUGCUGCGGGUUCCGGCCGUUAAACGACCUUCAUAACCCAAGGUUGACCUCGGAUCAGGUAGGAAGACCCGCUGAACUUAAGC